rnacentral:rRNA from 1 species
UACGAAGGGAGCUAGCGUUGUUCGGAAUUACUGGGCGUAAAGGGCGCGUAGGCGGGUUUCCAAGUCGGGGGUGAAAUUCCAGGGCUCAACCCUGGGACGGCCUUCGAUACUGGGAGCCUGGAGAUCGGGAGAGGUGAGUGGAACUCCGAGUGUAGAGGUGAAAUUCGUAGAUAUUCGGAGGAACACCAGAAGCGAAGGCGGCUCACUGGCCCGAGACUGACGCUGAGGCGCGAAAGCGUGGGGAGCAAACAGG